rfam:Dipodomys ordii contig_20347, whole genome shotgun sequence.
GAUGCUGUGGCUCAGUGGUAGAGUGCUUGCCUUGCAUGCAUGAAGCCUUAGGUUCGAUUCCUCAGCACCA